rnacentral:rRNA from 1 species
AAACGACUCUUGGCAACGGAUAUCUCGGCUCUU